rnacentral:rRNA from 1 species
UACGGAGGGUGCAAGCGUUGUCCGGAUUUAUUGGGUUUAAAGGGUGCGUAGGCGGCUAUUUAAGUCAGUGGUGAAAUCCUGCAGCUCAACUGUAGAAUUGCCAUUGAUACUGGAUAGCUUGAGUACAGACGAGGUAGGCGGAAUUUAUGGUGUAGCGGUGAAAUGCAUAGAUACCAUAAAGAACCCCUAUUGCGAAGGCAGCUUACUAGGCUGUAACUGACGCUGAGGCACGAAAGUGUGGGGAGCGAACAGG